UACGGGGGGGGCGAGCGUUGUCCGAAGUUACUGGGCGUAAAGCGCGUGUAGGCGGGUUGUUAAGUCCGCUGUGAAAGCCCGGUGCUCAAUGCCGGAGGGUCGGUGGAUACUGGCAGUCUUGAAGUGGCUAGGGGGAAAUGGAAUUACCGGUGUAGCGGUGAAAUGCGUAGAUAUCGGUAGGAACACCAGUGGCGAAGGCGGUUUCCUGGAGCUAACUUGACGCUGAGACGCGAAAGCUGGGGGAGCAAACGGG
rnacentral:rRNA from 1 species